rnacentral:rRNA from 1 species
UACGUAGGGUGCAAGCGUUGUCCGGAAUCAUUGGGCGUAAAGCGCGUGUAGGCGGCUCGGUAAGUCUGCUGUGAAAGUCCAGGGCUCAACCCUGGGAUGCCGGUGGAUACUGUCGAGCUCGAGUCCGGAAGAGGCGAGUGGAAUUCCUGGUGUAGCGGUGAAAUGCGCAGAUAUCAGGAGGAACACCAAUGGCGAAGGCGGCUCUCUGGUCUGAAACUGACGCUGAGGCGCGAAAGCGUGGGGAGCAAACAGG